AGCGACUGUGCAGGUUACCGCGGCUGCUGGCACGGAGUUAGCCGGUGCUUCUUCUGUGAGUGAUGUCCUUCCUGCCGGCUAUUAACCCGCAGGCCUUCUUCCUCACUGAAAGUGCUUUACAACCCGAAGGCCUUCUUCACACACGCGGCAUGGCUGGAUCAGGGUUGCCCCCAUUGUCCAAUAUUCCCCACUGCUGCCUCCCGUAGGAGUCUGGGCCGUGUCUCAGUCCCAGUGUGGCUGAUCAUCCUCUCAGACCAGCUACGGAUCGUCGCCUUGGUGAGCCGUUACCUCACCAACCAGCUAAUCCGACAUAGGCUCAUCCGAUAGCGCGAGGCCCGGAAGGUCCCCCGGCUUUCCCCCCGUAGGGCGUAUGCGGUAUUAGCCUGGGUUUCCCCCAGGUUAUCCCCCACUACCGGGCAGAUUCCUAUGCAUUACUCACCCGUCCGCCGCUCGCCACCCAAGAAGCAAGCUUCUCUGUGCUGCCGUCCGACUUGCAUGUGU
rnacentral:rRNA from 1 species